rnacentral:rRNA from 1 species
AUUGAACGCUGGCGGCAGGCCUAACACAUGCAAGUCGAGCGAGCGGCGGACGGGUGAGUAAUGUAUGGGGAUCUGCCUGAUAGAGGGGGAUAACUACUGGAAACGGUAGCUAAUACCGCAUACCAUCGGAUGAACCCAUAUGGGAUUAGCUAGUAGGUGGGGUAAAGGCUCACCUAGGCGACGAUCCCUAGCUGGUCUGAGAGGAUGAUCAGCAACACUGGGACUGAGACACGGCCCAGACUCCUACGGGAGGCAGCAGUGGGGAAUAUUGCACAAUGGGCGCAAGCCUGAUGCAGCCAUGCCGCGUGUAUGAAGAAGGCCUUAGGGUUGUAAAGCACUUUCAGCGGGGAGGCGUUACUCGCAGAAGAAGCACCGGCUAACUCCGUGCCAGCAGCCGCGGUAAUUC